AGAGUUUGAUCAUGGCUCAGAUUAAACGCUGGCGGCAUGCCUUACACAUGCAAGUCGAACGGUAGCGCGGGGCAACCUGGCGACGAGUGGCGAACGGGUGAGUAAAGCAUCGGAACGUGCCCUGGAGUGGGGGAUAACGUAGCGAAAGUUACGCUAAUACCGCAUAUUCUGUGAGCAGGAAAGCAGGGGAUCGCAAGACCUUGCGCUCUGGGAGCGGCCGAUGUCGGAUUAGCUAGUUGGUGGGGUAAAGGCCUACCAAGGCGACGAUCCGUAGCGGGUCUGAGAGGAUGAUCCGCCACACUGGGACUGAGACACGGCCCAGACUCCUACGGGAGGCAGCAGUGGGGAAUUUUGGACAAUGGGCGCAAGCCUGAUCCAGCCAUGCCGCGUGAGUGAAGAAGGCCUUCGGGUUGUAAAGCUCUUUCGGCGGGGAAGAAAUUGCACGGGUUAAUACCCUGUGUAGAUGACGGUACCCGAAUAAGAAGCACCGGCUAACUACGUG
rnacentral:rRNA from 1 species